rnacentral:other from 1 species
AGAGUCCUGAAAUGUACGUUGUGUUACCUGAAGUUUUGACCGAACAUAUUUUUAUUGGGAGUCCGGAGUUUCUUGGUUGCGUAAAUGCCCCGCUCAUUGACGAGUAUGGGGACUUGCAAUAUCAGGAAUAGAACACCCACCUGCUGUGUGCGGGAUCAAAACGAGGGAUCUAAAGCGACGGCAUUAUUGGGACUCUU